rnacentral:sRNA from 2 species
CCACCAGGAUAACAGACCUAAGAGUACUAGCCCAAUCUAGACUUGCAUUUGUUAUGCGCAGCCAAAGAUGCUUGAUGUUUAUGAAAAUCCGCGUUGCUCGUGGCGUCUCUGCUCUUCUCUCCCCACCAAUUGAACCUGACUACGAUUUGUUUCUCAGCUUUUCCUGUUAAGGAUGAUUUCGUUGAUUUCGUUUCCUGCUGGCGAAGUAUUGAAACAAGUGGGAGCGUCGGUGACCCGUCGGUGACCCAGCGGUGCCCGGAGAGACGCGUUAUUCCCGAUACUCAAUUCAUCUCGUGGCAUGAAGCAAUUCAGAAAUCGGCUGCUGCAUUUCCUAGGUGUUGACGAAGAUGCGAUGAUUACGCGCCCUAAAACCCGACACUAGAAGGAAGUUCUGCGACGAAUCCCCCUUGAGAAUGCGCAAAUUUUAAAUGGCCCAAGCCAACAAGGUUCAGAUAAGUACCGUCUGCCCAUUCGCACCCAAUAUGAUCCAUCCACUCUGCCGACCCCGUCGCCUUCCUCUUCGAAGACACGAAACAAGCUCAAAAAGAGUCUCUCGUCUUCUGGUUUUCAUCAUGGACCCUACGCAGUAUUUAUAAAAGCGAUUCUGCAGGACAGAGUUCUGCCGAUGGUGAAAGCGCAGCCCACUAUACCAUAAUAACUGAGGAUUUUCUUUGUGAAAGAUCUCGUCGACAAUUACACAGCAAGGAAAAUAAACUGUAUCAUAUAUGAGAAGGGACCAAGCAUCCAACUUGCUGCAAAUGUGGCAUUUUCAAACACAUCUGCCACGGUCGAGGGGAUAGCAUUUGAUUAGACCAAAAGGAGAAAUGCCAAAUAAUUACGUUGGCAUUAUGUUUGGUCAGCGUCAUUGCAUAAACUCAAUUAGCUACUAGGCAAUCCCGCGAAACAUCUUACUUGCAAAAGGUGAGGAUGACUAGGAUGAUGUAUGGGGAUAUUGCCCUUCACGAUUACGUUGGUGUAUCGGGUCACUUCCACAACCCUUAAUCAUUCAACAUGACAUACCCCUAGAUUUUCUAUUCACCAGCCCUAGAGCUCUCCUCUCAAUGCUCAUAUGAGGCACAGCAUAUUUACAUAUUAAUAUUGAAGCAGUAUGACUUAUUAUUAGCUACAGUUUAUCAGAGAAUAUGAAUAAUAUUGCAUUCUUUGAAAAGUCAUCUUCAAAGUCGCUGUGGGCGCACUUACAAAGUACGUUUA